UACGGGGGGGGUAAGCGUUGUUCGGAAUUACUGGGCGUAAAGGGCUCGUAGGCGGCCUACUAAGUCAGACGUGAAAUCCCUCAGCUUAACUGGGGAACUGCGUCUGAUACUGGAUGGCUUGGAUCCGGAAGAGGGAUGCGGAAUUCCAGGUGUAGCGGUGGAAUGCGUAGAGAUCCGGAAGAACACCGGAGGCGAAGGCGGCUUGCUGGGCUCGGUCUGACGCUGAGGCGCGAAAGCGUGGGGAGCGAACAGG
rnacentral:rRNA from 1 species